UAAGCGUACACGGUGGAUGCCCUGGCAGUCAGAGGCGAUGAAGGACGUGCUAAUCUGCGAUAAGCGUCGGUAAGGUGAUAUGAACCGUUAUAACCGGCGAUUUCCGAAUGGGGAAACCCAGUGUGUUUCGACACACUAUCAUUAACUGAAUCCAUAGGUUAAUGAGGCGAACCGGGGGAACUGAAACAUCUAAGUACCCCGAGGAAAAGAAAUCAACCGAGAUUCCCCCAGUAGCGGCGAGCGAACGGGGAGCAGCCCAGAGCCUGAAUCAGUGUGUGUGUUAGUGGAAGCGUCUGGAAAGGCGCGCGAUACAGGGUGACAGCCCCGUACACAAAAAUGCACAUGCUGUGAGCUCGAUGAGUAGGGCGGGACACGUGGUAUCCUGUCUGAAUAUGGGGGGACCAUCCUCCAAGGCUAAAUACUCCUGACUGACCGAUAGUGAACCAGUACCGUGAGGGAAAGGCGAAAAGAACCCCGGCGAGGGGAGUGAAAAAGAACCUGAAACCGUGUACGUACAAGCAGUGGGAGCACAGAGCAAUCUGUGUGACUGCGUACCUUUUGUAUAAUGGGUCAGCGACUUAUAUUCUGUAGCAA
rnacentral:rRNA from 1 species